rnacentral:rRNA from 1 species
CGGAGAGUUUGAUCCUGGCUCAGAUUGAACGCUAGCGGAAUGCCUUACACAUGCAAGUCGAACGGCAGCACGGACUUCGGUCUGGUGGCGAGUGGCGAACGGGUGAGUAAUGUAUCGGAACGUACCCAGUAGCGGGGGAUAACUACUCGAAAGAGUAGCUAAUACCGCAUACGCCCUUCGGGGGAAAGGGGGGGAUCUUCGGACCUCCCACUAUUGGAGCGGCUGAUAUCGGAUUAGCUAGUUGGUGAGGUAAAGGCUCACCAAGGCGACGAUCCGUAGCUGGUUUGAGAGGACGACCAGCCACACUGGAACUGAGACACGGUCCAGACUCCUACGGGAGGCAGCAGUGGGGAAUUUUGGACAAUGGGGGAAACCCUGAUCCAGCCAUUCCGCGUGUGUGAAGAAGGCCUUCGGGUUGUAAAGCACUUUUGGCGGGAAAGAAACGGCGUCGACUAAUACUCGGCGUAACUGACGGUACCCGCAGAAUAAGCACCGGCUAACUACGUGCCAGCAGCCGCGGUAAUACGUAGGGUGCAAGCGUUAAUCGGAAUUACUGGGCGUAAAGCGUGCGCAGGCGGUUCGGAAAGAAAGAUGUGAAAUCCCAGGGCUCAACCUUGGAACUGCAUUUUUAAC